AUAUCAAUAAGCGGAGGAAAAGAAACCAACAGGGAUUGCCCUAGUAACGGCGAGUGAAGCGGCAACAGCUCAAAUUUGAAAUCUGGCUCUCGGGCCCGAGUUGUAAUUUGUAGAGGAUGACUUUGAUGCGGUGCCUUCCGAGUUCCCUGGAACGGGACGCCAUAGAGGGUGAGAGCCCCGUCUGGUUGGAUGCCAAAUCUCUGUAAGUCUCCUUCGACGAGUCGAGUAGUUUGGGAAUGCUGCUCUAAAUGGGAGGUAUAUGUCUUCUAAAGCUAAAUACCGGCCAGAGACCGAUAGCGCACAAGUAGAGUGAUCGAAAGAUGAAAAGCACUUUGAAAAGAGAGUUAAAAAGUAC
rnacentral:rRNA from 1 species